AAAGGUAGCAUAAUCAUUUGGCCUCUAAUUAAGGUCUGGCAUGAAUGGGAUUAUGGGGAGUGACUGUCUGGGUGUAUUUAUUUGAAUUUAAUAAACAAGUGCAAAUGCUUGUGUAUCUAAAAUAGACGAGAAGACCCUAGAAGCUUGAACAUUUUUUGUUGGGGCGACAGAAUUGCAUUUAACCAAUUUUAAGUGAUAUGACUAUUAAAGAUAAAUAAAGCUACUCUAGGGAUAACAGCAUAAUAUUUCAAAGUUUGUGACCUCGAUGUUGGACUAGGUAAAAUAUUCUUUAGAAGGGGAUAUUUGAAGCUCUGUUCGAGCAUAUGCACCUACAU
rnacentral:rRNA from 1 species